rnacentral:rRNA from 1 species
UUUUGCAUAUCAAAAAGCGGAGGAAAAGAAACCAACAGGGAUUGCCUCAGUAACGGCGAGUGAAGCGGCAACAGCUCAAAUUUGAAAUCUGGCCUCUUUGGGGUCCGAGUUGUAAUUUGUAGAGGAUGUUUCGGGCACCGCUCCGGUUUAAAUUUCUUGGAACAGAAUGUCAAAGAGGGUGAGAACCCCGUCUUGGACCGGCAGUAGGGCCCAUGUGAAACUCCUUCGACGAGUCGAGUUGUUUGGGAAUGCAGCUCAAAAUGGGUGGUAAAUUUCAUCUAAAGCUAAAUAUUGGCCAGAGACCGAUAGCGCACAAGUAGAGUGAUCGAAAGAUGAAAAGCACUUUGAAAAGAGAGUUAAACAGUACGUGAAAUUGUUGAAAGGGAAGCGCUUGCAACCAGACUUGCGCGCGGCGGUUCCCCCUUCCUUUUGGUUGGGUUAUUCCGCCGUGUCCAGGCCAACAUCGGUUCUGGGGGUCGGUUAAAGGCCUGGGGAAUGUAUCUACCCUUCGGGCGUAGACUUAUAGCCCCGGGUGUCAUGCGACCUCCCGGGACCGAGGAACGCGCUUCGGCUCGGAUGUUGGCGUAAUGGUUGUCAGCGACCCGUCUUGAAACACGGACCA